GUAAACAGCUCAACGGGAAGAGUUCCUGCAUAUGGCGAAUCACGAACCGUGUUGAAGCUUUUCCAAUAGCAGAGAAAAUUUAACCUCUUAUAACUAACAUUAGGUAGGUUCCAACAAUCAACUAUGUGCGACCACUUUUAUAUGUACGUAAGGCAAUCUGUUUAAUCAUGAAAAACGGCAUGAUUAACUGUUAGUUUUUCCAAGGCUGAUUAACAUUAGGUAGGUUUCCAACAAUCAACUUGGUCACCAUCACUUCUAGCUUCUCCAAGUGGUAUCUCAAGUACUUGACCAAGAAACUUGAAGAAGCACAAUGUGAGGGAUUGGCUUCAUGAGACCGCUGAAACUUCAACAUUGCAGAGAACGAGGGCUGAGAAUUGAGAAAUCAGUUUUUGUUUUGUAUUCAGUGAUUUGCGUUUUGAUUGUGACGAGGAGAUUGGGUUGAAAACAAGUGGAACAGAUAGAGGUUCUAGGCGGUUGGUUGGGCUGAUUGGGGAAAACGGGGAGCUGCAGACGCCAAAUAUCUACCCGUGAAGAUCACAGGUCCAACUAAAUAAGUUGGGACAUCAGCUUGGUUUAGAUACUUAUGGAAUUGAUGCCAAUGAAUAGGAUUCAAGCAUUAAUAUUGUCAGCGAUGGGGAAACUCAUUUUCCAGUCCCCUUAAAUAAGGAGCAGCUGAAUGAUGUUGCUCCAAGCAAGAAAAGGCUCGAUGUAAACAGGGGUUCUGCCAAGGAACCAAAACAAGGUGACUGGAGCAGUGGAAGGCGAUACUGUUGGAAUCGAGAGAGCGGGAGAAGAAAUCAGUCCGCGUUUCAUUUGGAUCAAUCUUAAAAGCUUGGCUAUCGAAGUUUCGGUGUGCUUCAGUUUUGAAGAUAAUCGUGCUGGUUGAGGUCAGGCAUUUUGUUGUGCUUGGGUUUUGAAGAUAAUCGUGCUAGAUCAACCAGAUUAGGUAGCAUUUGAGGUGUUGUCAAUUGUGAAGCUGCUGCUGACUUCCAAUCAUCUUUCUUAGUCUUAGGUUUCUAAAAACACGAGCCAUGAUGGUGCAUAGAGGCUGAAUUUUUCCUUUUCUGUGCUCCAUGUCUUUUUCUGUUGAAAGCAGAAUUAGUACCUGGGAAUAAGAGGAAGAAGAGAAAUAUGGAUUGAGCCAAUUUCCAUCAUUUAUGUGCUGUUUUGUGUAAAGAAAAUCUACAGAUGCUUGGUUCAAUGAUAUGUUAUCUUGGCAGAUUUGUGCAAAUAAUCGGAGUACUGUGUGCCCAAAUGAGAAUUGAUCUUUUUGGAGACUCAAGGUUGUUCAUGAAAUCUUUUUUGUUCCUCUUAUUUAUGGUUUACAAUUCCUUUACUGUGCUGAAUUGAUGCCAAAAAAAGCAGAAGAGAGUUGUUCAGCAUUGACUCAGACAAAAAACCUCGCAGCUUCAAUUUUCUUCACAUCUCAAGUGUGUGAAACAGCGACUACGUUUUCUUUUCUCACAAUGAUAGGGAAACUAGCGCCGAACCAGCAAUGUCAUCAACAGACGAUGCACAACCCAACAAGCAGAAAACUGACUGCAGCAGCUUAUCAUUGCAACUCUUGCACCACUUUUUGUAUAGAUAGAAAUGGAGCAAGCAAUUUUUUCAUAGGCCAACACCUUUUGUUAGACCAACUAUUUUUUGGAAAAUGUUCCAACAUAGAUAGCCUAUUUGUUGAACAAUCCACUAUGAUAAUAUCAUCUUUUGUUUUAGAUGAUCUGCAGUAAUGAUAACAGUUCUAUCAUUUAUAUCCUCGAGUGGAGGCGAGCUUUGAUGAAAUUAAAGCAAGAGAGAAACCAAGGUUCGCUUUGAUGGAAAAGUAAACGGAAGAGAUAGACAAGUGCACACGUUGAUAGGGUGGACGUGUUUUUACAGUUCUAGAGAUAGACGUGUAUAUAUAAUCGGGAAGUCGACUGUACUGUUCUCUUAUUUCCAUCGCCGCCCGCAAAGUGCAAACCAGAACAGAGGAGACACUUCAUCCAAAACUUCAUCGGAGUACAUUGGAACAGAAGAUCUGCAACAAGUCCCCUCCAUAUCCAUAUCCAUAUCCAAAUCUAAUCAAUAUAUGUAAUUACCCCUGUCAGCAGUGGAGUUUUCCUUUGGAUUGAUUGCCCAAAUAUAAUGAGAUUCCAUUAGAUCUGGAUUGGAUUGUGAGUUUCUAUGUACAGAGAAAAGAUGAAAAAAAUGAAACUGAUCUGAAAUUGAAAGAAGGCGAUAUGAAAUUAUAUCGAACAUUUGAUUCCUACACCCACAUACUCUAAAUCAAACAUGAUCUGGCUUCACCGUCGAGUCCUUGCUCGGGUACUUCUUGAUUCCGGCAACGAGGCAUUGUCGCCCAUGCCUUCGUCGAUGGCCUUCACAAUGAUGCCUUUGCGGCCGGCUAAGCGACCCUGGAAGAGGAUCACGGCCUUGUUUGGCUUCAAAAACUUCACCAUGCUGGGGGAGAAGAUGGAAAGACAAUGAAGAUUUUUGAAAAUAAGACAAUGAAGAAUUGAAGAUUAAAGAUAGGAGGACUCUGCCUCUUUUUUACUUCAUACACCAUUAAUUAAAUCUUUUGUUUCAUUUUUACCCAUCCCCUGGCAGAACGCAUAACUGCAGAGUUUUUUUUUUUUUUUUUCAAACAGUGUUAACAAUGCUGACGGACUGAUCUGAUGGCUCAGAUCGCUUAGUCGCCUCAGGAAGCAAGAUCUGUUGACAUCAUGAGCACAUCAACACUAGAAAAGUACCUAGGAUCUUCAGUUUGAUACCAAACCUAAGUCAGACGCAAGCUUAAUUUCUUUCUAGAAAGCUCAGUUUGGUACGAAACUGAAAGAAACCCAGAAGUGAGUUUGUUUGACAUCCUAGAUUUCUUUCUACGUACUAGAAAAGUACAAGACACAACCUAGAUCAACCCAAAAGUCAGACAUCCUAGUUGCUCAGUCAUACAUAUGAAGUUGGUCAGCCAAGUUUUAUGAUCCGGAACAAAAUGGACCAUAAUCAAAGUCUCAAAACACAAGCAAUAAACAGAUGACCAACAUGAAAGAAUCAAGGCAUCACAGAACAGCAUGCUAAGGCAGAUUUGAGACAUUCUUCUUCACACAGUUUGGUAUAUAUAAAGCAGAUUUGGCGAACCGGAAAAAGGGCAGCCUUCAAUUCACUGUCAAGAGCCUCUAAAUAUGAAGAUAGAUAGAUCACA